GACGAACGCUGGCGGUGUGCUUAACACAUGCAAGUCGAACGGUAAGGCCCUUUCGGGGGUACACGAGUGGCGAACGGGUGAGUAACACGUGAGUAACCUGCCCUCAUCUCUGGGAUAACAGUCGGAAACGGUUGCUAAUACUGGAUAUGAGCUUGCAAGGCAUCUUGUGGGUUGGAAAGAUUUUUUUGGUUGGUGAUGGACUCGCGGCCUAUCAGCUUGUUGGUGAGGUAGUGGCUCACCAAGGCUUCGACGGGUAGCCGGCCUGAGAGGGGGGCCGGCCACGUUGGGAAUGAGAUACGGCCCAACCUCCUCCGGGAGGCAGCGGAGGGGAAUAUUGCACAAUGGACGGCAGUCUGAUGCAGCACCGCCGCGUGCGGGAUGACGGCCUUCGGGUAGUAAACCGAUUUUAAUUGUGACGAAGCUUUUUGUGACGGUAGCAGUAGAAGAAGCACCGGUUAAUUACGU
rnacentral:rRNA from 1 species